GCAUAUCAAUAAGCGGAGGAAAAGAAACCAACCGGGAUUGCCUCAGUAACGGCGAGUGAAGCGGCAAAAGCUCAAAUUUGAAAUCUAGUACCUUCGGUGCUCGAGUUGUAAUUUGUAGAGGGUUCUUUGGGGCCGUCUCUUAUCUAUGUUCCUUGGAACAGGACGUCAUAGAGGGUGAGAAUCCCGUAUGAUGAGAGUCGCGGUUCUUUGUAAAGUUCCUUCGAAGAGUCGAGUUGUUUGGGAAUGCAGCUCUAAGUGGGUGGUAAAUUCCAUCUAAAGCUAAAUAUUGGCGAGAGACCGAUAGCGAACAAGUACAGUGAUGGAAAGAUGAAAAGAACUUUGAAAAGAGAGUGAAAAAGUACGUGAAAUUGUUGAAAGGGAAGGGCAUUUGAUCAGACAUGGUGUUUUGCGCCCUCCGUUCCUUGUGGAUGGGGGACUCUCGCAGCUCACUGGGCCAGCAUCAGUUUUGGCGGUAGGAUAAAUCCAUUGGAAUGUGGCUCGCUUCGGUGAGUGUUAUAGCCUUUGGGAAUACUGCCAGCCGGGACUGAGGACUGCGACAUUCGUCAAGGAUGCUGGCAUAAUGGUUAUAUGCCGCCCGUCUUGAAACACGGACCAAGGAGUCUAACGUCUAUGCGAGUGUUUGGGUGUAAAACCC
rnacentral:rRNA from 1 species